GUUGGCGUGCUUAACACAUGCAAGUCGAACGGAAAGGCCCUGCUUUUGUGGGGUGCUCGAGUGGCGAACGGGUGAGUAACACGUGAGUAACCUGCCCUUGACUUUGGGAUAACUUCAGGAAACUGGGGCUAAUACCGGAUAGGAGCUCCUGCUGCAUGGUGGGGGUUGGAAAGUUUCGGCGGUUGGGGAUGGACUCGCGGCUUAUCAGCUUGUUGGUGGGGUAGUGGCUUACCAAGGCUUUGACGGGUAGCCGGCCUGAGAGGGUGACCGGCCACAUUGGGACUGAGAUACGGCCCAGACUCCUACGGGAGGCAGCAGUGGGGAAUAUUGCACAAUGGGCGGAAGCCUGAUGCAGCAACGCCGCGUGCGGGAUGACGGCCUUCGGGUUGUAAACCGCUUUCGCCUGUGACGAAGCGUGAGUGACGGUAAUGGGUAAAGAAGCACCGGCUAACUACGUGCCAGCAGCCGCGGUGAUACGUAGGGUGCGAGCGUUGUCCGGAUUUAUUGGGCGUAAAGGGCUCGUAGGUGGUUGAUCGCGUCGGAAGUGUAAUCUUGGGGCUUAACCCUGAGCGUGCUUUCGAUACGGGUUGACUUGAGGAAGGUAGGGGAGAAUGGAAUUCCUGGUGGAGCGGUGGAAUGCGCAGAUAUCAGGAGGAACACCAGUGGCGAAGGCGGUUCUCUGGGCCUUUCCUGACGCUGAGGAGCGAAAGCGUGGGGAGCGAACAGGCUUAGAUACCCUGGUAGUCCACGCUGUAAACGGUGGGUACUAGGUGUGGGGUCCAUUCCACGGGUUCCGUGCCGUAGCUAACGCUUUAAGUACCCCGCCUGGGGAGUACGGCCGCAAGGCUAAAACUCAAAGGAAUUGACGGGGCCCCGCACAAGCGGCGGAGCAUGCGGAUUAAUUCGAUGCAACGCGUAGAACCUUACCUGGGUUUGACAUGGAUCGGGAGUGCUCAGAGAUGGGUGUGCCUCUUUUGGGGUCGGUUCACAGGUGGUGCAUGGCUGUCGUCAGCUCGUGUCGUGAGAUGUUGGGUUAAGUCCCGCAACGAGCGCAACCCUUGUUCACUGUUGCCAGCACGUUAUGGUGGGGACUCAGUGGAGACCGCCGGGGUCAACUCGGAGGAAGGUGGGGAUGACGUCAAGUCAUCAUGCCCCUUAUGUCCAGGGCUUCACGCAUGCUACAAUGGCUGGUACAGAGAGUGGCGAGCCUGUGAGGGUGAGCGAAUCUCGGAAAGCCGGUCUCAGUUCGGAUUGGGGUCUGCAACUCGACCUCAUGAAGUCGGAGUCGCUAGUAAUCGCAGAUCAGCAACGCUGCGGUGAAUACGUUCCCGGGGCUUGUACACACCGCCCGUCAAGUCAUGAAAGUUGGUAACACCCGAAGCCGGUGGCCUAACCGUUGUGGGGGAGCCGUCGAAGGUGGGACUGGUGAUUA
rnacentral:rRNA from 1 species